AUGAUGGCUAGAAAACAUAGUAUAAGAGCUUCAAAGGUAUACGACAAAAAUUAUUAUAUAUAUUAUUAUAUAAGUGGAUAAAAGUAUUAGGACUGUAUAUAAUUUGACAUUCGGUGAUUUGAAUCAUUGGAUUUGACAUUGGAAUGAUUCGACGACUACACGUUUUGGAGGUUCGUUAACGUCCUGCAUCGAAGCCGUACCUUCAGGAUAGGGCCCGAUAUGAAGGGGUGAGGCGAACAUAUAGUUUUCCUCGGCGGAGCGUUUUAUUUCACAAAAUGAUUAUUUGGGCAAAAAUAAAUAAAAAAAA